CCUACGGGAGGCAGCAGUGGGGAAUAUUGUACAAUGGGGGAAACUCUGAUGCAGCAACGCCGCGUGAGUGAUGACGGCUUUCGGGUUGUAAAACUCUGUUUUUAGGGACGAAAAAGACGGUACGUGACUAGGCAUCCACGGCUAAUUCCGAGCCAGCAGCCGAGGGAACACGUCGGUGGCGAGCGUUGUCCGGAUGUACUGUGCGAAAAGGGAGCGUAGGCGGUUUUUUAAGUGAGAUGUGAAAUACUCGGGCUCAACUUGAGUGCUGCAUUUCACACUGGAAGACUGGAGUGCAGAAGAGGAGAGUGGAAUUCCUGGUGUAGCGGUGAAAUGCGUAGAGAUUAGGCAGAACACCAGUGGCGAAGGCGGUUCUCUGGACUGUAACUGACGCUGAGGCUCGAAAGCGUGGGGAGCAAACAGGAUUAGAUACCCGUGUAGUC
rnacentral:rRNA from 1 species